ensembl:miRNA mdo-mir-7364 mdo-mir-7364
GUGGGGGAACUAAAGUAGACCACCAAAGAGCCUUUUUUAGCUAAUGUGGCUGCCUUCCUUCCCCCAGGG